UACGUAGGGGGCAAGCGUUGUCCGGAUUUAUUGGGCGUAAAGAGCGUGUAGGCGGUUUGGUAGGUCCGCUGUGAAAACUCGAGGCUCAACCUCGAGACGCCGGUGGAAACCAUCAGGCUAGAGUCCGGAAGAGGAGAGUGGAAUUCCUGGUGUAGCGGUGAAAUGCGCAGAUAUCAGGAAGAACACCCGUGGCUAAGGCGGCUCACUGGCCCGGUACUGACGCUGGAGGCGCGAAAGCCGUGGGGAGCGAACAGG
rnacentral:rRNA from 1 species